AGAAAGAUGCUGCUGACUUUUAUUAACAUAUUUUAAAGCCACGAGGAAUCACACAGCUCUUUAGAGAACUUUUUGUUAAAUCAAGUAGCCUGAGGAGAGAGGGAGAGACAGAUAAACACAGACCAAAAGAGACAGAGAGAAGGAAAAUCAAAGUUUAAAGCCAUACUGUGUGAACUGAAAAGCUUUUUUCUUUCAUUCAAGAGCUUUACCCACCCAGCUCACCCCUUCCAGGAAGUAGGUCAAGACUUGCUGCUCUGACAUACCAUGGUCAAGUUGAACUGAAUCCUAAUUGUCAAGGAAUAAUUCAGCAUUCUUCACUGGCUCCAGAUGAAAACUUUGUCACAGAAGGAAAGACCCCGGGGAAUAAAGAAAGUCAUUUAAGUCCUUUUGCUCUUCCAAGAAAUUCUUGCAUGUAUUGAUGGAAGGCAGCUGUGGUCUGUGACAUGUAGGGCAGGAACUAAGUAGCCAUUCAUGCAGCUGCAGCACUUGGUAUUUAAAAAUUUAAAUUUCAGUACUCUGGGCUCUACUCCUGACUCUGGACUUUCUCAACUAUGCUACAUCAGCCUCCUCACUUUGGAAGAUCACUUUCCUCUGGGCCUUCUCACACUGGAAACGAAGUCAACACUGCACCAUAUUCCUCUGAUUGGCCAGUUCCUCCCAGAACUUCCAUUUUAAGAGGCUAGAAAUAUUUUCAUUUCUCUCUGGGCUCCACUCUUAACUCUCUGUUCUGUCUACGCCAUGGCCUUAUUUUGAUUACCUUCUUCCUUCCAUUCCUUUUCAGCUUCCUUUUAUAUAAUGUCUUCGCCCAUUAGAAUGUGAGCUUUUGGAGGGCAGAAAUUGUUUUUCUUUCUGCUUAUAUUUGCAACCCCAGAAUUUAGCCUAGUACCUAACACAUAGCAAGGGCUUAAUAAAUGCUUAUUGACUUAACUUGACUUUAAAUAAAAAUUUAAGUAAAAGUCUAU